rnacentral:rRNA from 1 species
GAUGAACGCUGGCGGCGUGCUUAACACAUGCAAGUCGAACGGAAAGGCCCUGCUUUUGUUGGGUUCUCGUUUGGCGAACGGGUGAGUAACACGUGAGUAACCUGCCCUUGACUUUGGGAUAACUUCAGGAAACUGGGGCUCAUACCGGAUAGGAGCUCCUGCUGCAUGGUGGGGGUUGGAAAGUUUCGGCGGUUGGGGAUGGUCUCGCGGCUUAUCAGCUUGUUUGUGUGGUAGUGACUUACCAAGGCUUUGACGGGUAGCCGGCCUGAGAGGGUGACCAGCCACCAUGCGACUGCGAGACGCAGCAGAAUGCUACGGGCGGCAGCAGUGGAGAAUCUUGCACAACGGGCGGACGCCUGAUGUAGAAACGCUGGGUGCGGGAUGACGGCUUUCGGGUUGUAAACAGAUUUCGAAUGUGACGAAGAGUGCGUGACGGUAAUGGGUAAAGAAGCACCGGCUAACUACGUG